UCUGCGUAGUGAGGAGAAAGGAGGCGCU
rnacentral:sRNA from 1 species